rnacentral:sRNA from 1 species
UCAUUAUUAGCUUCAAAACCACCACCAAGAUAAAGAGCUGAAAGAAGCAUCAGUACCCAAAAGACCGGAGAAAAACAUAGCAUCAACAAAGCAAACAAUCUAGACAAACGCAGCAGAAACAAUCACACUAUCAGUAGUAUCUAGAGUGGGUUUUCAAGACAUUCAAUGACCGCAGUUUAAGAAAGCAAGCAAACCAAAAGAGUAGAUAGCACGAGAGAAUCUCUGAGAUGGAGAUCUUUGUCAAUAGAAAAGCUAAGAAGAAAGCCCAGCUCCUCCUGGUCCUGGGCUGUCACCUAAAUCACCUAUAUAUGAAGCGUACGUACUUGUCGAAACCGUGACAUGCCUUGUAUGUGUUAGGCAUGCCACCUUCCUUCUUCUUCUGAUGCCGUCCUCUAAAUUCAGUCCGAUCUGAAAUUAUCCAAAUCAGAGAGAUAUGAGUUUCCAUAAACAAAAUUAGUUUACUCAGAAUAAAAAAUCAAGCGCUCUAUUUUUGGAAUCGAAAUUCAAAAAUUCAUCAGCGAAUCGCGCAAAUCUAUGUCUAUUUAGCAUCACUUAUCGAAUAGAAAUCUAAAAUCGAAACAUAAUCAACUAACAAACGCCACAGAUUGUUAGCAAAAAUCGAAUCCAUCUAUUUUUGGAAUCAAAAUUCAAAUAUUCCUCAAAAAUCAGCAAAUCGAAUUUCUCUCUAUUUCCUCAAUUUUUGCACAAAUCUAUGUCUAUUUAGCAUCAAUAAUCGUAACAAAAUCAACUAACAAACGCCGCAGAUUGUUACCAAAAUUUGAAUCCAUCUAUUUUUAGAAUCAAAAUUCAAAUAUUACUCAAAAAUCAGCGAAUCGAAUUUCUCUCUCGUUCCUCAAUUUUCGUACAAAUAUAUGUCUAUUUAGCAUCAAUAAGAAAAACACAAUCAACCAACAAACGCCGCUGAUUAUUACUAAAACUUUAAUUCAUCUAUAUUGAAAUCAAAAUUCAAAUAUUCCUCAAAAAUUAGCGGAUCGAAAUUCUCUCUACUUUCUCAAUUUUCGCACAAAUCUAUGUCUUUUUUUUUUUGGGCAAACUUAUCUUAUCAUAAAAGAGAAAGAGUUUUAACCUCUACCAACAGAGGAUACAACAUAGCAACAACAAGUCGGAAAAGCUAAAGCAUCGACAAACAUAGAGAUCAAACAUAAGCGAAAGCUAGCAACAACAAUGCUCAAAAAGAGACUUGGGGACAAGGGUGAACCCAAAGGUUCUAGCAAAGCAGCAACUAACCAAGAGCAUCCAAAAAAGCAAACACCUUUAGCUUGGAAGACCUUGUCGAAACCACAAUAAGGAGGAAACAAAGCCUCCAAUGACACUAACGUCAAACAAUCGGCAAAGGCUGAAUGAGAACAGUCUUGAACAACAAUCCUCGCUUCUACUUCAAGCAGAUCAGUAUUGCACACAAUGCUCCCUGUAACUUUAUCACUAAACACAAGUGAAGUAUUUGAGAGGAUAAAAAGCUCCAUAAAGGAGAGAUGAGGGCUAUGAAAUCCCCAAUGAACCAGAAAAACUGGUAGGUUGUCUGAAAUCAAAGCCCUCCGUCUAAGCUGCGAAGAGACAACUUUUAACAAAAACAAAUCGAGAUAGAAUCCGCAUACUGCAGUAAAAGAUCGCAUUAAAGCGAUAGAGGUAUUACAAGAGAGCACAAAAGUAUCCAAAACAUUCUGUCUAAGCUGCGAUGAGACAACUUUUAACAAAGGCGAAUUAAGACAUCCACAUAUUGUGGUAAGUGAUCGCAUCAAAGCGAUAGAGGUGCUACAAGAGAGCACAAAAGUAUCCAAGCCAAUCGAAACUAGAUAAGCUACAUAUGAAUUACACAAACCCAAAUUCCACAAAACCAGAGCCACAAACUCUAUCAACAACCAAACCCUUCCAAUCUUAGAAGAAACAUACGGCGAAGAGUAAGAGCAAACCUGAGGGAAAUACUGAGGAAGAAAAGUGGUGUCGUCGGCGAGAAGGAAAACAUCAAUGAAAAAAUCAGUGAUCGAAGAGGUCGGUGACGGAGAUUCAGAUAUGGCGGAGGAGAUAUGGAGAAUGAGCGAGACCAAAUCUGGGAGGGAAGAGGAGCUCAACGACUGAGCAUAAGAAUCAGCAAAAGUGAAGCAGAUCUGAGAAUCUGGUGGAUCCGGUGGUUCCGGUGGAGUCGGCGGAGAUGGAGGCUCUGGUGGUGGUGCACAAGGUGGCCUCAGAAGGAGGAAGGCGACCGAAGACGACGGUAAGCGACGAGAGUGGCUCGCAUUCGAGAGAAAAAGGAAAGUCAUUUCAAGUGAAAGACUCGCCGGAAAACAAUUACGCCACCGGAAAAGUAGAUUCAUUGGAGAGAUCUCACUUUAGUAGUAGCUACAAUCAGGAACGCAGGCAGUCAGAGGAGCAACGCCGGUGAAGAGAACUAAUCACGAACAAGGCUUGCGGCUACCUUGGUUAUCUUGCUUGAGAGAAAAUUUUUUUUUUUUUUUUUUUUUUUUUUUAGUAAGAGCCUUUUAUUCACCAAUAAGAAUUUUGUUCUUUCUAAGUAUACAAAAUGACUAAAGAGUAUUUUACUUAACUCACAAAUAGUACACAGGAGAGCUCUAACAGAUUGAAACGUGAACCUCACCUGGAAAGAAAGUACUUUCUUUCAUCACACACUAAAGUCUUCAAAAGCUGUUGAAAGUUCUUUACUUGUUUCAAAAGCGACCAAGGUUCCUAAGAAUUGUUUAGCUCAGAGACCAACUUCCAAAAAAAAAGAUAUUAACCUGUAGAAAGCUUUUGUUCUGGAUCUUGAACUCGCAACAAACAUCGCAGCUUCCCUCAACAAAACAUUGCUUUAGGAUCCAGAACAAAUAUGGUCAUGGUCUUUGAACAAUGUUACCACAUAAUCUGUUAAAUCUCCUGCUUUUCAAACAUGUAAGUGAAUUUCAACAGAAACAAAUCUAGCUCCACUCUAUGAAUAUUGAAGCAGUUUUCUGAGAAUCCGGAAAGGGCCUAUAAAUCAAAAGAGAAAUAAAACACCUCAGGUAGGAGAGUCUUGAACUUUGAAUAGUAUACUAGUCUUUUUGGAUCCUUCUAAGGUUACAUUAGCAACAUCAACGACCUUGGAGUUAUGAAAAAGCCUAGCAAUGUCUCUUACAUCAUCUCCACCACAUUCAUCAACCGAAACCACACAAAAUCCGCCACGUCUCACCGUCCUCUCCAUCUCCUCCACAAACUGCCACGGAAACAGAGCUUCAGCUAGAUGUGCAGUGAAGGCAAAAUCAAAGACACCGUCGAAAAACGGAAGGUUAUGAGGAUCAGCUCUUUUCACAAGAGGAAUCGAAUCAACCAAUUCAACUGCGGUAACAUCAGAUAAUCCGAUCUGAGAAAGAGCCAUCAGAGCAUGGCCUGCUCCGGCGGAGAGACAGAGAGCUUUGGUGUGAUUUUGAAUGAAUCCGAGAUCGCGAAAUCGGAGGAAGUAGGUAGAGAAGGAGUAUAGACGAGAUUUCCAAGCUCCAGAGGACCAGAUUCGAGCGUUCUUCUUUGGGAGAGGAAGAUGCUGACGAGGCGAUGAAUCGCAUGUAGAUCUCGGGAAAUGCGUAUGAGGUUUCGAUGGAGCUUCUGGAGAAAUACAAGUUUUUGGUGUCUGGAGAAUCAUAAUUACCAUUAAUACUGUUCCGAUGCUUAAGAACACUAUUGAUACUCUCUUCAGCAUCUUCUCGACGUUUCUCUCCAUCGUCGCCGAUCAAAACUCCGAUCAAAAUAUCUAUGUUUAUAUAACAUCAAUAAUAAAAACACAAUCACCUAACAAACGCCGUUGAUUGUUACCAAAACUCUAAAUAAUCUAUUUUUGGAACGAAAUUCAAAUAUUCAUAUAAGAUUAGCGGAUCGAAUUUCUCUCUAUUUCCUCAAUUUUCCACAAAUCUAUGUCGAUUUAGUAUAAUUAAUCGAAACAUGGUCAACUAACAAACGCUGCGAAUUGUUAUCAAAACUCGAAUCCAUCUAUUUUUGGAAUUAAAAUUCAAAUAUUCCUCAAAAAUUAGCAAAUCAAAUUUCUCUCAGUUCCUCAAUUUUUACACAAAUCUAUGUCUAUUUAGCAUCAAUAAUUAAAACACAAUCAACUAACAAACACCGCCGAUUGUUACCAAAACUCGAAUCCAUCUAUUUUUAAAAACAAAAUUCAAAUAUUCCUCAAAAAUUAGCGGAUCGAAUUUCUCUCUAAUUCCUCAUUUUGGCACAAAUCUAUGUAUAUUUAGCAUCAAUAAUCGAAACACAUUCAACUAACAAACGCUGCAGAUCUAAUCCAUCUAUUUUUAGAAUCGAAAUUCAAAUCUUCCUCAAAAAUUAGCGGAUCAAAUUUCUCUCUUGUUCCUCAAUUUUCGCACAAAUCUAUGUCUAUAUAGCAUCAAUAAUCAAAAUACAAUCAGCUAACAAAUGCGCUGCUUUGUCACCAAAACUCGAAUUCACUUAUUUUUAGAAUCAAAAUUCAAAUAUUCCUCAAAAAUCAGCGGAUCGAAUUUCUCUCUAAUUAUUCGAUCAAGAAACAAAUCCUACAUUGUUAGCAAGUAGUGGGUAUAAUGACUGGAAAAAUGCUGCGCAAAGGCUGAAAAGACAUGAAACAACUCAUCGUCAUAUUAUUUCCAUGACUCAUUGGAUGGAGCUAGAAGUGAGAUUACAAAAGAGUAAAACAAUUGAUAACCAUAUGGAAUAGGCAAUUAAGAAGGAGAAAAAACAUUGGAGAGAUGUAUUGGUGAGAAUAAUUGCAGUGGUAAAGACUCUAGCUAAACAAAAUUUAGCAUUUUGUGGAACUAAAGAGAAUGUUGAUGAUCCAAAUAGUGGAAAUAUUUUGGCAUUUAUUAGAAUGAUUGGAGGUUUUAAUUCGGAUAUGAAGGAACACAUUCGGCGGGCUAAUAAAGGUGAAAUUCAUUGCCAUUUUCCCAGUCAUAAGAGUCAGAAUGAAUUGACAGAAUUACUUGCUAAUGAUACCAAGAUGAUGAUCUUAAAGAAGAUUAAAGAUGCGAAGUAUUUUUCAGUCAUUCUUGAUUCCAUUCCGGAUGUUAGUCGUAAAGAACAAAUGACCUUCUUAAUUCGAUGUGUGGAUGUUUCAACGUGUUCACCUAAGAUUGAGGAGUUCUUCUUGACGUUUCUACACAUCAAAGAUAAGAGGGGUGAGGGGCUUUUUAAGACUCUUCAAGAUGCAUUGAUUGAUCUUAAGUUGAAUAUUGAUGAUGUAAGAUGACAAGCAUACGACAACUGACAAAAUAUGAAGAGAAAACAUAAAGGAGUUCAGAAAAGGUUGCUUGAUAUAAAUCCAAGAGCAUUUUACACUCCAUGUGGAUGCCAUGGUCUUAACCUUGCACUUUGUGAUAUGGCUUCAUCAUCCAAGAAAGCUGUUUCUUUUUUUGGAAUUGUUCAGCGAAUACAUUGUCUGUUUGAAGCUUCAACCAACAAUUGGGAAGUGUUUAGAGAAACAGUGAAUGGUAUUACACUUAAACCGUUGUCUCAAACGCGUUGGGAAAGCCGCAUUGAUAGUCUUAAACCAAUAAGAUAUUAAGCUUCAAAGAUACAGAUACAAGAUGCACUUUUUUAUUUGGCAGAAUACACUGAUAAUCCAGGACACCGGAGUGAUGUUGAGUCUCUUACAGAGAGUGAAACACAUGGAAUUGGAGGGUUUGAAUUUUUAUUUGGAAUGAUAAUUUGGUACGAUUUGCUAGCUGCUGUGAAUAUAGUAAGCAAAUCCUUACAGUUUGAGGAUAUGGAUCUUGAGGUUGCUAUUUCUCAGUUAGGAGGGCUUGUUACUUAUUUGAAAAACUACAAAGAAACAGGUUUCGAGAAAGCCAAAGUUGAAUCUACACAAAUUGCCAUUGAGAUGAAGAUUGCGCCGGUAUUUCCAAAAAAGUCGGUGAAAAAAAAAAAGCAAUUUGUUGAGGAUGUUGAGAAGAUUGAUGAAAGUAAGAUUGCAGAGGAGAGUUUUAGAAUUGAUUACUUCAUCAAUAUAAUGGAUCAAGCUAUAAUGUGUAUUGAGAUAAGAUUCGAGCAAUUCCAAGUAUAUGAACAAAUAUUUGGAUUUUUGUUUGGUGUAAAGAGAUUGAAGGUAGCAGAAGAUGAUGAGUUAAGGACAUCGUGUAUGAAGCUUGAAGCUUCUUUGAAGCAUGAUGUGCAUUCAGAUGUUGAUGGAGAAGAUCUGUUUAUGGAGCUGAAACUUUUAAAAGAUGUGUUGCCAAAAGAGAUUACAAAGCCGGUCGAAGUGUUGAAAUUUUUGAAAAUAAUGGAUAGCUGUUAUCCAAACACAUGGAUCGCUUAUCGUAUACUACUCACCAUUCCGGUUUCAGUUGCUUUGGCGGAGAGAACUUUUUCAAAAUUAAAGCUCAUAAAAAAAUAUCUACGUUCGACUAUGUCUCAAGAGCGAUUGAAUGGUUUGGCGCUGAUAUCUGUAUAACAAGAACUGGUUGAGAAGCUCGAUUACCAAAAAUUGAUGAAUGAAUUUGCAGGAGCGAAAGCUAGGAGGAUUAUGUUUCGCCAGGAAGAAAACUGAGAUUUCUAUUUAUUUUUUUUCUUGUUAACAAUUUUUAUGUUCAAUUUUCUUAA